rnacentral:rRNA from 1 species
GAUGAACGCUGGCGGCGUGCUUAACACAUGCAAGUCGAACGGAAAGGCUCCUGCUUGCAGGGGUACUCGAGUGGCGAACGGGUGAGUAACACUUGGUUGAUCUGCCCUGCACUUCGGGAUAAGCCUGGGAAACUGGGUCUAAUACCGGAUAGGACCACAUUUUGGAUGGUGUGGUGGAAAGUUUUUCGGUGUGGGAUGAGCUCGCGGCCUAUCAGCUUGUUGGUGGGGUAAUGGCCUACCAAGGCGUCGACGGGUAGCCGGCCUGAGAGGGUGUACGGCCACAUUGGGACUGAGAUACGGCCCAGACUCCUACGGGAGGCAGCAGUGGGGAAUAUUGCACAAUGGGCGCAAGCCUGAUGCAGCGACGCCGCGUGGGGGAUGACGGCCUUCGGGUUGUAAACUCCUUUCGCUAGGGACGAAGCGCAAGUGACGGUACCUGGAGAAGAAGCACCGGCUAACUACGUG